GCAUAUCAAUAAGCGGAGGAAAAGAAACUAACAAGGAUUCCCCUAGUAACGGCGAGUGAAGAGGGAAGAGCUCAAAUUUUAAAUCUGCCUUGUUUCAAGGUCGAGUUGUAAUUUGAAGAAGCGUUUUCUUGGGCUCGCGACCGGUAGAAGUUCUUUGGAACAGGACAUCAUAGAGGGUGACAAUCCCGUCUGCGACCGGUCGUGCGUUCAUCUACGAUACGCUUUCAAAGAGUCGAGUUGUUUGGGAUUGCAGCUCCAAAUGGGUGGUAAACAUCACCUAAGGCUAAAUAUUGGCGAGAGACCGAUAGCGAACAAGUACCGUGAGGGAAAGAUGAAAAGAACUUUGAAAAGAGAGUUAAACAGUACGUGAAAUUGUUGAAAGGGAAACGAUUGAAGUCAGUCGUGCUGGCGCGAAAUCAACCCUCUCGUCGAGAGAACACAUGGCGUGGCGAGCCUCAAAACCGUCACGAAGCGAGAACUCUUGGCGAAAAGGAGCACUUUCGUGUCCGCUGGUUAACAUCAAUUUCGAACGUCAUAAAAAGGCUGGAGGGAUGUGGCUCCUUCGGGAGUGUUAUAACCUUUAGCGGAAUGUGGUGGUCGGGAUUGAGGAUUGCAACGAAUACCUUUAGGGCUGUUCCACCUGGCUUCUCUUUGGUAUCCUGGUGACAGACAGCUUGCUGACAGUUGUUAGGAUUCGCCUUUGAACAGGCUAGAGUGUGAGCAAAUUCGUUAAGGAUGUUGACGUAAUGGCUUUAAACGAC
rnacentral:rRNA from 1 species